UUUUAAAAAGAUUUACAAGAGUUUUUAAAGGGUUUUAAAACCCUUAUAAAUAUUUAAAAAACCAUUGUAAAUCCUUUAAAACUCUUGUAAACCAAUUAAAAAUCUUUUAAAAACUUUUGUAAACUCUUUCAUAAUUUUUUAACCAUUUUAAAACUCUUGUGAACCUUUACAAAAUAUUUUCAAAAGAUUUACAAGAGUUUUUAAAGGAUAUACUUGUAAAUUCGUUUAAAAUCUUUUAAAAACCCUUGUAAUUCUCUUAAAACCCUUUAAAAAUCCCUUGUAAAUCUCUUAAAACAAUAAACUCUUUAAAAAUCUCUUGUAGAUCUUUUAAAACCCUUUAAAAGUCCCUUGGAAAUCUUUUAAAACCCCUUUUAAACCCUUUAAAAUCCCUUGUAAAACUCUUUU
rnacentral:sRNA from 1 species